rnacentral:rRNA from 1 species
UACGUAGGGGGCGAGCGUUGUCCGGAUUUAUUGGGCGUAAAGAGCGUGUAGGCGGUCAGGUAGGUCCGUUGUGAAAACUCGAGGCUCAACCUCGAGACGCCGAUGGAAACCAUCUGACUAGAGUCCGGAAGAGGAGAGUGGAAUUCCUGGUGUAGCGGUGAAAUGCGCAGAUAUCAGGAGGAACACCGGUGGCGAAGGCGGGUCUCUGGGCAGUAACUGACGCUGAGGAGCGAAAGCGUGGGGAGCGAACAGG